rnacentral:rRNA from 1 species
GAUGAACGCUGGCGGCGUGCCUAAUACAUGCAAGUCGAGCGAACCACUUCGGUGGUGAGCGGCGAACGGGUGGGUAAACACGUAGGUGAUCUGCCCAUCAGACGGGGACAACGAUUGGAAACGAUCGCUAAUACCGGAUAGGACGAAAGUUUAAAGGUGCUUCUGGCACCGCUGAUGGAUGAGCCUGCGGCGCAUUAGCUAGUUGGUAGGGUAAAGGCCUACCAAGGCGACGAUGCGUAGCCGACCUGAGAGGGUGAACGGCCACACUGGGACUGAGACACGGCCCAGACUCCUACGGGAGGCAGCAGUAGGGAAUCUUCGGCAAUGGGCGAAAGCCUGACCGAGCAACGCCGCGUGAAUGAUGAAGGCCUCGGUUGUAAAUU